GAACGCUGGCGGCGUGCCUAAUACAUGCAAGUAGAACGCUGAAGAGAGGAGCUUGCUCUUCUUGGAUGAGUUGCGAACGGGUGAGUAACGCGUAGGUAACCUGCCUUGUAGCGGGGGAUAACUAUUGGAAACGAUAGCUAAUACCGCAUAACAAUGGGUGACACAUGUCAUUUAUUUGAAAGGGGCAAUUGCUCCACUACAAGAUGGACCUGCGUUGUAUUAGCUAGUAGGUGAGGUAACGGCUCACCUAGGCGACGAUACAUAGCCGACCUGAGAGGGUGAUCGGCCACACUGGGACUGAGACACGGCCCAGACUCCUACGGGAGGCAGCAGUAGGGAAUCUUCGGCAAUGGGGGCAACCCUGACCGAGCAACGCUGCGUGAGUGAAGAAGGUUUUCGGAUCGUAAAGCUCUGUUGUAAGUCAAGAACGAGUGUGAGAGUGGAAAGUUCACACUGUGACGGUAGCUUACCAGAAAGGGACGGCUAACUACGUGCCAGCAGCCGCGGUAAUACGUAGGUCCCGAGCGUUGUCCGGAUUUAUUGGGCGUAAAGCGAGCGCAGGCGGUUUGAUAAGUCUGAAGUUAAAGGCUGUGGCUCAACCAUAGUUCGCUUUGGAAACUGUCAAACUUGAGUGCAGAAGGGGAGAGUGGAAUUCCAUGUGUAGCGGUGAAAUGCGUAGAUAUAUGGAGGAACACCGGUGGCGAAAGCGGCUCUCUGGUCUGUAACUGACGCUGAGGCUCGAAAGCGUGGGGAGCGAACAGGAUUAGAUACCCUGGUAGUCCACGCCGUAAACGAUGAGUGCUAGGUGUUGGAUCCUUUCCGGGAUUCAGUGCCGCAGCUAACGCAUUAAGCACUCCGCCUGGGGAGUACGA
rnacentral:rRNA from 1 species